UUUCGUCUUUUAGAACGGAGUUCUGUUAGCACUGAUCUUCUCCCCAUAUAGCGAUCAGAUCGAGCACCUCCUGUGCGGUCCAAGCUGGUGCUCUUUUUCGAUUCUCAGGAGACUGCAUUG